GGCAUGUUUGGCUUAACUUAUUUCUGACUUAUUAAAAGUCCUUUUCCCUCAAAAUAAGUAAGAAUUUCUUACUUCUUGACUUCUUGUCUCACAACAACAGAAAAUCCAAACACUAAAAUAAGUCCUUUUACCCACCAAUAAGUCAAAAGUCAGAAAAAUAAGGAACCCCAAACACCCCCUAACCCUAUUUUUCAAGCAUUUCAUCUUCCAGUUAUUUCUGUGUAGAUUCAAUCAUUGAAUCAAUCUAUGUAGAUUCGAUCACUCUUAAAUUCCUUAUUUGUUCAUCUCAAUUAUGAAAUCAAAACUUCACAAAUCGAUUAUAUAACUUUUAGUUUACACUUGAUUUCGUUAUCCAUCGAUUGGUGUAUAGUUCAUCUAUCUCAAACCUGAAGUUUGGGGAUUUGAAGAAGGAAAAGCAAGCAAGCACAUCUGAUUUCGAUUUUUUAGAGGUUUUGAAAGAAGUACACCUGAUCAGAAAUCUCUCAUAUUGCCAUAGAUACAGAUGAGAUGGCUUCGAGCAAAUCUUGGCGUUAUUUCAAGAGCAGAUGGCUUUUGAGAUGGGGAACAUCAAAGGACUUUAUGUAAACCUAGGGUAUGUGUCGGGUCGGUUUGGAAUGGUACGGGUUACGGGUCGGGUCGGCAAGGGACGAUGGAGGUCGGCGGCUUUUUAUAUACCCAUGGAUAUAGAAACAUUGCCCCACUUUAAUUUUGCAAAGCAACCUAUACAUUUACCUAUUUGAUGGUGUUUUAUCUAUGAUUCUUAUGCAAUUACAAUUGUUAUUUAAUUACUCGAUGUUUUGAUUAAUAGUGUAAAAUUGCGGGAACGACAAAUAUGACAGGGGCGGGAGAAAGGAUUGAUUAGCAUUUACAUAGUUGAACAUGCUGAGUUGCUGACUUAAAGUGCUAAGCAUUCCAGAAGUUUUACACUCCAUACACCAGUCGUCAACAUUACUUGCUCAAAGAACAACACUCGCAGUAUGACUCCUUUUAUGUAAGUUGAAAAGUUUUAUAAAAAAGUGGAUGAACAAGAUAACAAUGCGAGAUUUUAUGAACCAGUGUAUCGGCUAGAAGCAACCGAAUGAGAUAAUAACGAAAACAACAAUCAGUGAGUUACCUCAAGUGGAAAUCGGUGAGAGUUCAAAGCGUACUGCCGUCUAUAAUCACGCGUCGUGCCACCAGACUUCUUCGCAGCGAACAAGCAGGUUAACGAAGAGUGAAGGGGAGGUGAGAAGGAACUGUGUGUGAGGGUUUUUGUGAGAACGUGGCAGAGUGGGGGAUUUACGGAUUGAUUUAGAGUGAUGAACGGAAUUCAAAGCUUGAUUUGGUUCGUUUGACUUUAGAUUGAAAAUUAUGCGUUUUAAUUUUAUAUAUAUAUAUAUUUAGUCACCUAUAUCUUUCCUAUAAUUCUUUGUUUCCUCAUAUACAAGAUCCUUUUUUUAUCGUUUUAAAUGGAUCGGAUAUUGUAUUUUGAAAAAAACUAGUGGGGGUGACUUAAGGCUGAUGUAAAAUCGUGUUUGUGAGUUGUACCAACUGCAUUGAAAGAUGUACUUUUUAUUUUAAUGUU